AAACCGGCGUGAGCCAGGUCGGUUUCUAUCCUAAGAUAAAUUANAUUCUUAUUAGUACGAAAGGACCAUAAGGAUAAAAUAUUUUUNUAUAAUUAUGAAUUAUAUUAAUUAAAUNUUAA
rnacentral:rRNA from 1 species